CAGGACGAACGCUGGCGGCGUGCCUAAUACAUGCAAGUCGAACGAAACUUUCUUACACCGAAUGCUUGCAUUCACCGUAAGAAGUUGAGUGGCGGACGGGUGAGUAACACGUGGGUAACCUGCCUAAAAGAAGGGGAUAACACUUGGAAACAGGUGCUAAUACCGUAUAUCUCUAAGGAUCGCAUGAUCCUUAGAUGAAAGAUGGUUCUGCUAUCGCUUUUAGAUGGACCCGCGGCGUAUUAACUAGUUGGUGGGGUAACGGCCUACCAAGGUGAUGAUACGUAGCCGAACUGAGAGGUUGAUCGGCCACAUUGGGACUGAGACACGGCCCAAACUCCUACGGGAGGCAGCAGUAGGGAAUCUUCCACAAUGGACGCAAGUCUGAUGGAGCAACGCCGCGUGAGUGAAGAAGGUCUUCGGAUCGUAAAACUCUGUUGUUAGAGAAGAACACGAGUGAGAGUAACUGUUCAUUCGAUGACGGUAUCUAACCAGCAAGUCACGGCUAACUACGUGCCAGCAGCCGCGGUAAUACGUAGGUGGCAAGCGUUGUCCGGAUUUAUUGGGCGUAAAGGGAACGCAGGCGGUCUUUUAAGUCUGAUGUGAAAGCCUUCGGCUUAACCGGAGUAGUGCAUUGGAAACUGGAAGACUUGAGUGCAGAAGAGGAGAGUGGAACUCCAUGUGUAGCGGUGAAAUGCGUAGAUAUAUGGAAGAACACCAGUGGCGAAAGCGGCUCUCUGGUCUGUAACUGACGCUGAGGUUCGAAAGCGUGGGUAGCAACAGAUA
rnacentral:rRNA from 1 species